ACCAUGAGAGUUGGAAAUACCCGAAGCCUGUGAGCUAACGGUAAUGAGGCAGCAGUCGAAGGUAGAGCCAAUGAUUGGGGUGAAGUCGUAACAAGGUACC
rnacentral:rRNA from 1 species